GGGGAUAUAGCUCAGUUGGUAGAGUACUUGCUUUACAUGUAUAAAGCCCUGGGUUCAAUCCCCAGCACCA
rnacentral:tRNA from 1 species